rnacentral:rRNA from 1 species
AACGCUUCGUUGUUGAUGUCGAUGCUGCGCAAUGACAACAAUGCAUAUUCUUGUAGAUGUGUUAUUUGCCACGAAUUGCAGACGCUUAGAGUGGUGAGAUUUUGAACGCAUAGCGCCGUUGGGUUUUCCCUUCGGCACAUCUGGUUCAGGGUUG